AUACGGAGGAUGCGAGCGUUGUCCGGAAUUACUGGGCGUAAAGAGCUCGUAGGUGGUUUGUCGCGUCGUCUGUGAAAUUCCGGGGCUUAACUCCGGGCGUGCAGGCGAUACGGGCAUAACUUGAGUACUGUAGGGGAGACUGGAAUUCCUGGUGUAGCGGUGAAAUGCGCAGAUAUCAGGAGGAACACCGGUGGCGAAGGCGGGUCUCUGGGCAGUAACUGACGCUGAGGAGCGAAAGCAUGGGUAGCGAACAGGAUUAGAUACCCUGGUAGUCCAUGCCGUAAACGGUGGGCGCUAGGUGUAGGGGUCUUCCACGACUUCUGUGCCGUAGCUAACGCAUUAAGCGCCCCGCCUGGGGAGUACGGCCGCAAGGCUGAAACUUAAAGGAAUUGACGGGG
rnacentral:rRNA from 1 species